rnacentral:rRNA from 1 species
CUCUGUGACUCCUACGGGAGGCAGCAGUGGGGAAUAUUGCACAAUGGGGGAAACCCUGAUGCAGCCAUGCCGCGUGUGUGAAGAAGGCCUUCGGGUUGUAAAGCACUUUCAGUAGGGAGGAAGGUAGUGUAGUUAACACCUGCAUUAUUUGACGUUACCUACAGAAGAAGCACCGGCUAACUCCGUGCCAGCAGCCGCGGUAAUACGGAGGGUGCGAGCGUUAAUCGGAAUUACUGGGCGUAAAGCGCAUGCAGGCGGCCUGUUAAGUCAGAUGUGAAAGCCCCGGGGCUUAACCUCGGAAUUGCAUUUGAAACUGGCAGGCUAGAGUCUUGUAGAGGGGGUAGAAUUUCAGGUGUAGCGGUGAAAUGCGUAGAGAUCUGAAGGAAUACCAGUGGCGAAGGCGGCCCCCUGGACAAAGACUGACGCUCAGAUGCGAAAGCGUGGGGAGCAAACAGGAUUAGAUACCCUGGUAG